GAUUGGGGGGGGGGAGAGGGAGAGGGAGAGAUUGGAGGAAAGAUCGCAGCGACCAAGCCACCCGCUCUUCCGCCUCUGCACCAGGGCGAAGGAAAACAAGUCUUUCUGCCCUAGAAAAAUCUUUUCCGGCUCCUGAGUAUGGCUGGUCUGAACCUUCAUUUUACAAUUACUGCCAACAUUGGAUAUAUGGGAGAGCACCUGCUGCAGAUGCCCUCCAGACGGAAGGGGACGCCGGAAGAGAAGGGAGGAGGAAGAGGCGAUGGUGAAGCCGAAGAAGCAAACACGCCGUCCGAAAAGGAAAAAAUAAACGCCGGCAGAGGAAUGCAAACGGUUCUUCUUUGAUAGCCUUAAGGAUCAGAGAAGCAGCACAUGAGUUUGAGAGACAAGGGUGAAGCUAUGAGGCCUUCAAUGAAGUUUGGGGAGAUGACUGACUGUGUCCAUAGAAGACUGGGCCUUUCUGGUGGCAGCUGCCAGGCUACAGUGUUGUCUUCUAAGGGAAGCUAGGCUGCCUCCUGACUUGCCCUCCCUGACCCCUUUCUAUUGCCCUUCCGUUGUCAAGCCAUAAUUUCUUUAUGUUGGUGGGUUGUACUUCCUUACUGGGUAGCUGUUGUAUUUCCUUACUGCUAUACUUUUAAAUUGCUGUCUAUUCAAUUGUGUUCUAAUGUUUAAUUAUUAUUUAAUUUUAUAACUUUGUAAAGCUGUGACUACACGGUCAAAUACUGUGGGAUUUGCUCUGCUUUUGAAACAGACGAAUUUAUAUUUUAUUGAUCACACAACACCAAGGCCAGUUUGAAUCAGUCCAGCCCUCUUUGCUUCCAACAUAGCUUUCUUUCCCCUUGGCUUCUGGGUACUUUUACUUCUUUCAAGCCAGAACAAUUUGGACAGACUAUUCGCCAUGUAAUAACUUGAUUUGUUCUUGUAAAGAUGGUUUUGUGUUUCGGUGAUGUAGGCAGUUGAGACUGUUACGGACUGCAGGAACAUGAACUUCCAUGUUCUUUCCCCUGAUCAUCCUCCAAUUAAAAAAAAUGUAUAUAGAUCACCUUAUCACUAAUAUUGAUAUACUAGUGUAGCACUAGAUCGCUUCCAUACAAGAAUGUUCUUUUUAAAAAAUAUUAUGAACAAGAGAAACAACCUGGAUAAAAUAAAAUACAUGCCUGUAGUGUGUGGUAUUUCUGUACUGUUAAGAAGAACUUUGAAACCUUUUAUGGAACACUAUAUAACCCUUUCAAAACCAAGUGGCUUGACAGUGAACAAUAAAAGGUUAGGCAGAGGUGGGACCAGAGGAAAGAAAGAAGGGGGUGGGGCUGUGGGAUGAAAUGCCAAUUGCAUAGCAUCCAGUGUGAACACUGAACUCCCAAAUCAGUCUGCAGUGUGUUAUCACUGAUGGUGAAUUCAACCAUAACACAGGCUGCAAAUAAAAUUGCAGCAAAGCUGAGUCAGGGUGAUUCAGCAUUCCAUUAUAGUCACAGCCUAACUCUGUUUUAAUAAGAUAUCUUGUGGCAUCUUUAUUUGCAUGUCCUUUGUAAUUAUGUUUUGUGCUGGUGUUCUAUGAGAAGGCAGGACAGAAACUGAAGAAAUAAAUUACAGAAAGUAUU